CAUGCACCUGGAUAAUCGCGUCAUGAAUCGGGACAGGCUCCUACGUCCCUACAUUAUGACAUAAUAAAGACAUAGAAGCAUAUCCAUUUAUACAGGUUCUACACAUUCCAUUUCUCCAUGGCAAUAGAAUGUAAACAUUCUAUUUUGCGCCAAACAUCACCUACAACUCCAUUCUAAGUGCAGCAUAUUGGACGACUCCACAGUCAUUGAUCAUUCGCGACUUUAAGUCAUUCCUGUUAUCUCUAGAGCAUCCCGUAUAUCUAUAGCGCUGCAUUUCUUCCCCAUCUUACCAUGGAUAGGGUUUGGUGCAUUCCGGAGUUCACUUAUGGUCCCACAAAGGAAUUCUGUAGAAGCAGCCUUUAUUUUCAGACUCUGCAGGCCUGCUGGGAGGAAACAUAUUACAAUAAACAGAAGAAGCUCAUGGUCCACUAUCUGCUGCUCCAGAGUCAAGGCCAGGUCCCGCCCCAUGUCACCACGGAGCACAUGAGCAACUGGUUGGUGU